ACGCAUUCUCUCCGCACUCUGGACGCCGCGACGGAUCGGGUAGCUGCGAGAGUCGCCCUUGCGGCGGUUCCAGGCAGGUGAUCGGGCGACGGUUAUUAUAUCUGCGCCCGGUUAUUCACGGGACCGUCCGUGGUGCGACACCCGAUCGAGGUCUGAGUUUCCCGUGCGGGAAAUCGUCCGACUCCGUCUCCUUGACGCGGUGACCGGGCCAGUGAGCGCCGGCGAUGCCGAACCACUCGUCGUAGUGGCCGGCGCGACGGUGGCCGCCGUUGGGCUUCCGGUCGACCGCUGGAGAAUCGGUGACGGUCGGCGGCGAUUGAUCGAUCACCCACCCGACCCGUCUUGAAACACGGACCAAGGAGUCUAACAUGUGCGCGAGUCGCAGGGUCGUGGACAGGCCCUCGGGCGCAAUGAAAGUGAAGGUCGGGACUCCCGUCCUCCGCGGCGGGAAGCACCGACGACCCGUCUCUUCCGACCCGUCGGUGGGGCGGAGUCUGAGCGCACACGUUGGGACCCGAAAGAUGGUGAACUAUGCCCGGGCAGAAUGAAGCCAGGGGAAAC
rnacentral:rRNA from 1 species